AAUUAACAGACAUUGUCCUUUUUAAUUGCAAUUCACUUAAAAUGUGACAUUCCUACUGAAAAUUAAUGAGGAAUGAUAUGGACCCCGGCUGAACCACAUGCCAUGGUGCUACCGUUUUCAUCAGUACCGCGCACAUUCUGUGGGCGAUAUGUCUCACGGUUGACAACUGGAGCGAUGCCAAUGCCCCGUUGCUGCACAACUCCUGGCUUGUUUUGGCAGGGGAUAAUUUAGUGUGCAAAGAACCAGUGUCGCCGGACACUAGUGGCAGAUCCACAUUUUUUCAGCCUGGUGCAUUGAGGCCGGUCUGCUCAUUACUCCAUGUUUCGCAGCAGCCCAGCUAGAUAUGGAGAAUAUCUGCUUUCACAUUCUUGAGGGUCGCGAUACAGAGAGUUCAGUACCUGGAUGAAUGAUUAUUGAAUCCUUUAAACACACUUUCAAAUGUAC
rnacentral:sRNA from 2 species